rnacentral:rRNA from 1 species
UACGUAGGGGCUAGCGUUAUCCGGAUUUACUGGGCGUAAAGGGUGCGUAGGCGGUCUUUCAAGUCAGGAGUGAAAGGCUAUGGCUCAACCGUAGUAAGCUCUUGAAACUGUAAGGCUUGAGUGCAGGAGAGGAGAGUGGAAUUCCUAGUGUAGCGGUGAAAUGCGUAGAUAUUAGGAGGAACACCAGCAGCGAAGACGGCUCUCUGGACUGUAACUGACGCUGAGGCACGAAAGCGUGGGGAGCAAACAGGAUUAGAUACCCCGGUAGU